GGACACUGAAUCUAUCAGGAAGAUAGUCUCUAGUUUUGCCCAAAUUGAUCAAAUUAGUCGCAGAACCUUGGAUAGCAGAGAUCGUACUAUCUUUGAACUUACAUUCUACUAUGAAAAUCUAGAGGACAUCCCUUGCUCCAUAAAUGUGGUUCUCAGAGAUGCGACCUACCUAAUUUCUAUUUCCAUUCAUAAUGCUGAAGCUGGCCAUCCAUCCUCUUCUAUUAUUCAUCCAUGAGUAGAUUUUGAGCC
rnacentral:lncRNA from 1 species